UACGUAGGGCGCAAGCGUGUCCGGAAUUAUUGGGCGUAAAGAGCUCGUAGGCGGUUUGUCGCGUCUGCUGUGAAAACCUCAGGCUCAACCUGGGGCUUGCAGUGGGUACGGGCAGACUAGAGUGGCGGUAGGGGAGACUGGAAUUCCGUGGUGAUGAGACGGUGAAAUGCGGCAGAGUAUCGAAGGGCAGGGAACAUCCGGUUGG
rnacentral:rRNA from 1 species